GAAUGUUUAAACUUCCAUCAGCCAGAUUCUAACCAAGAGAUUGUCUAUUUUUAGGUAAGUUACCAGGAGGAUGGUUUUUCCAAAGUACUCGUUUUUGGAAUUUGUUACCUUUUGAUGUUUUAUUUGCCACUUUCAGGAAUUCUUAAUACAGCAAGAGAACAGGCUUCCUCUGCAGAAGAGCCUGUGACACAACCAGAACUAAAGACUAAGCCUGUGCAGGUGCCAGAAUUCAGUCUAAUGGGAACCAGUGACCUCGUAUAAAAUGAUGUAAGUCACAACUUAUUUACAUUCUACCAGCGUGUAUUCAAAAUCAUUAUUUCAGUUAAUCUCAACUAUUUUUUGAACUAAGCAUUAGUCCCAUUUUAAAAACAGAGUUGUGACUUGGCCAGGGUCACACAGCACAGAUCAUGUACAAUCCAAAUCCAAUCUUCUCUGACUCAUAUUUGUGUGUAGUGAGCCCUGGGUUAGUCAGAAUUAUAAUAGCACAUUAUAUCAGUUACUUAAAUUUAAUUCAGCUAUAAAAUGCAGAAUUAAACUAUUUUUAAGAUCAUUCUCUUCUGUAUUGUGUUAGAAGAGAGAACCAGAAACUGAAGGAAGUGGGCGUAGGCAAAAAAAGAUGACACCGACGCCAGAGGUAAUAGGGUGGAAUGCUGAGGAAAGUCACCCCAAGUGACUGCCCUGUUUAAUGCGAAAUUCCUUUGAGAAAAGUGAAUGAGAGACAACAUAAUUUAUUCUAAGAACAUUUCCACUUGAAAAAUGUAGAAAGCAAAUUACUCCUAAGAAGAUCCAUGUGUAAUAUAAAAGAAUCUUACCUAUCAUAAAAAACAUACUAAAUGCAUGUACAGGCUUCAUGGUCCGUGGAAAAAGUUUUAAACAGUAACUUCCUUCUAUUGGAGCACUGGCCAAAUUCAAUACUGAUACAAAUGUAAAUUUCUUAGGAGGUCAAAAUAUGUGUGUCAAGUGACCUUUAUGAAUUUCUUUUAAGGGCAGAAUUUUUAAAACAUAAGAAACAAUGUACAUCAACAGCAGUUCAAAUUAAAGCUGAAUAACCAAACCAUGUAAAUUAACUAAUAUCUACUAACAUCUAAAACAUUGCACAUAUUUUCAAUAACUUAAAAUUUAGGUCUACCUACUCUUUUCAUCUCCAACCCCGUAGAGGAAAUACAACUUCAAACACUAUUUACUCAUGUAGGAGAUUCUGGCAUUAACUCAAGCUGAGUUUAUCAGAAAUAAAGAAAAUCAUGAAGCUUUAUCAAGUAUUUAAAAAUGAUCACUUGUAGCAAUUCAUUAGAAGCACUAGGUAAGAAAGGCAGUUCUGCACUUUCUUACAGCUGAGGUUUAUGGCGCAUAAUGUAGUUCAACAGAACAGCAUUCUGAUGAACACCUUAAAAGACAUGUUUUUGCCUAUUCAGUGUUCCAUUUUAAAGCUACUCGUUUUGACCAAUGUUGAAAGUUUUAAAUUCCAUUAUGCCAACAAUUUCUAGAAGUAUUAACAAGUCAUUUUUUAUGAUGCCAUUUAUUAAACAAAGAAAAAGAUGGAAUAUUCUGGUUUUUGUUUGAAAAGAUUUAAUUCAAUGCUUUGAUUCCUCCCUAUUUGCAAACUACCUUUUCUUCCUCAGAAUGGACGGCUGUGAGCAUUAUCAAGAGUCCCUACUCAAAUCCCAUCUCCAAGAAAAUGUGAGAGGGAAUCCCAAGAUUAACUAAAAGUUCUGUGUGAGAGGACACAGCGGACUGGCUUGUAAAAUGGAGGUGCUCAGCAGUGGCUGGAACUACUGCCUACGUUGAACCAGGAAAGAAGCCUGACCUCAUACUCACCAACACUGUUUCUGAAGUGGCCUCUGACGCAGACUUUGGAACUCCUUUCUCAGCCUCAUCUUGGCUAUCACUUCGGUACCGGUAAGCAAAUUUCUUUUUCAGAGCCUCUGCUAUGAGGGCAGCAGGGUCAGUAGCAUCCACAGGUUUGGGCUUUGUAUCUAGUUCUGACCUUGGAGAAGUGAGCAGAAACCAAGGGGACAGGUCAGUAGGCUGACAGUGAAGACACUGCUAGCAGUGAGGAGGAACCCGAGAUUUCAGGCCCAAUGAACAGCCACUCAGUUGUUCAUCUGAAGGCACUGAUCAUGCUCUUUCAGGGCCAGUAUGGCUCCAUUCUGUUCCAGAAGCCCAGGACUGCCAUAGUGUACACAGCAUGGCUUUACGGAGUGAAUGACUGGCAGUGCAGACUCUAACGAAUGAAGGUUUUAGAUGCAAGGGGAAAGAGCUAAAAAGUAAUCUGGAAAUGUUUAUUUUGCUAAUUUCUUAGUUAUCUGUGCAAGGAGCCACCAGGGCCCAUCUUUUACAAGUUAAA